rnacentral:rRNA from 1 species
UACGGAGGGUGCAAGCGUUAUCCGGAUUUACUGGGUUUAAAGGGUGUGUAGGCGGGCUUUUAAGUCAGCGGUGAAAUCUCCGGGCUCAACCUGGAAACUGCCAUUGAUACUAUUAGUCUUGAAUUUUGUUGAGGUAGGCGGAAUAAGUCAUGUAGCGGUGAAAUGCAUAGAUAUGACUUAGAACACCAACUGCGAAGGCAGCUUGCUAAACAAAUAUUGACGCUGAGGCACGAAAGCGUGGGGAUCAAACAGG